rnacentral:lncRNA from 1 species
CCUGGGAGCACAGGUGAAAGCAAUUCAUCUAUGUAACCAGAAGGGGGUGGAGCCUGGCUGUACCUCUCUUAGACCUCAUUUAAGGGCUGACUGCCCCUGGAGAGGGAUCUCUGGUUGCAGAUCCCUCCCUUAUGGAGUUUUUCCUGUGAGCCUAGAACUUCAGAGAUGGGAAAACCAGAUGAAGAUUAAGUCCCUGGAAAGAAAAUGUCAGCAGUCCCUAGAUGUAACCCACUGACCCAUUCCAGUCUCAAUGAAACACCCAAAUCCAGCCUGCCUUUUGGUCAGGAGCAGUGACGCCUGCCAGGCUCAGGAAGCAGAAUCACUCCUCCUCCCCCUGCUCCCUGCCAUGAAAAAGGAAAAAGAAAAAAAAAAGUAAAGAGAAGAGAAGAAAGACAAAAAUUCUAAGUUCAUCUAAACCUAUCAACAUGUGCAGAACGCAUGUCUGUGCCUAUUAAUCACUGCUGGGGAAACACAAAGCCACAGUGCCAUUACGGAAAAGACAACAGAUCAUUCCAAAGCCAUAUGGCCACCACCAUUGAUCCUGACAUCCAGGAAUCAGUGAAUGAUCUUGACUGGUAAGAAUGUAGAACCAGAGCCAAUAUUAUAACUUCACUGCUUCUACAGACUGUGGGGAAACACGUUUUGAGAGUAAUGCAAAGCUGCAACAAAGAGCACAUGGAUAUGCUAUCAGUAUUUGCUAUCAAAGGAUCUCAUCAUAUGGCAUAAUGUGCUUUAAGAGUGAUUACAGUAACUUAAAAAAAAUUGUAUUAGCUCAUUUGUUCCUUAAUAAAUCUGUUUUUUAAGUGAACCCUGAAUGAGUUGGAACAUUAAGUUAUAUGGACAGUCUUCCAAAUCCUUGUACGAGUACACGAUCCCAUUUAUUUAGGUAGGAAUAUUCACACAUAUAUAUGUAUACUAGCACUUAUUAAAUAAAAUAAUUAUCACAUUUUCAAGACUGCUUAUAGUAAAGGCCUUGAAUAUCACAACUGGGUGCAUGACUCAAUAUCUACACUUGGGGCCCUUUAUUGCUGCAGAAACCAGACUGGGAAUUUCCAGCUAGCAUAACAGCCUCUAAAUGUCUUCAUUUUCAUAUACCGUCUCAGAAAGUAGGUGGUCUCUGACAUGGUCUUUAAGUGCAGUGGGCCAGAUACUCAGCUGGUAUUAAUUGUCACUCCUUUGUCUUUGAGAGCAUCAUGCCAAUUUAACCCAGGAUAGGAUCUGGCUCAGCAUGGUCCUUUCCACACUGUCUGCUUAAUCUGUCUAAAUCUACGUUAAUCUAGAGUAGUUUACAGUAUCAUUUAAAAGUACCUCAAGGAAUAAACUUCUUUCCAAUGAUAAAAUAACAUCCAGAGAUAUUUUCUUACAAAAUAGGCUUUAAAAAGCUGAUCUCCCACACUGCAGAAGCGUCCCACAGUCUUCAGUUCUUGGCUGGCACAUAAAGACAGCCUAAAUUUCAAGAAUGCAAGACAGCAGCAGCCACUCUGUUUUGGGGAAACACAUAGUGAAGAUGUAUGGACAUAACCCUUGCAGUGACUAUGGUCUUCAGGACUAGUGAAGUGUCCCUGACAUCCUUUAUGUAACAGGGAAGAUGUAG